UAUAAGAUAAGCUAAAAGCAAGCUGUUAGGUUCAUACCCUAAAAAUGAGAUUUCUCUCUUAUAA
rnacentral:tRNA from 1 species